rnacentral:rRNA from 1 species
GACGAACGCUGGCGGCGCGCUUAACACAUGCAAGUCGAGCGAAGCGGCGGACGGGUGAGUAACACGUGAGUAACCCGCCUUAGACAUUGGGAUAGCCUCGGGAAACCGGUAUUAAUACCAAAUGGUCUAAGAUGGACUCGGGUCCCAUUAGCUAGUUGGUGGGUAACGGCCCACCAACGCGACGAUGGGUAGCCGGCCUGGGAGGGGGAACGGCCACAUUGGAGCGAAGAAACGUUCCAGACUCUACGGGAGGCAGCAGUGGUGAAUGUUGCACAAUGGAGGGAACUCUGAUGCAGCGACGCCGCGUGAACGAAGAAUGCUUUCGAGUCGUAAAGUUCGUUUAUAUGGGAAGCGGUACCAUAAGAAAAAGCCCCGGCUAACUCCGUGCCAGCAGCCGCGGUAAUAC